GCUGAGAGUUGCGAGUAGAAGUGGAAGUCUCAUCUUCUUCAAAAUCUUUCAGAGACUUAACAAUUGGGAGCUUCUUGUGUAUAUCUAAUGGCCGUGGCCUGAAUGAAAGUCUACUCAUUAUAUUUUCUUAUACAUGUGUGUAAUCUUCACUCUCAUUGCCUAUAAACUUCAUGAAAAAGAAACAAAUAUCACAACAAGCAGGUAAAUGACUAAUUGUAGCUGAAACCAGGUAAAGAUGAACAAUUUUCUAUACAAGCGGAUGGAAUCUGGUUUCCUGUGUGUAGGGUUCAACACAAGAAAGAUUUCAGUUAAGGAAACUUCUCUGCAGUUUUCCGUCGUCUGGUCCUCUCGGCUAGGGUUUUUGCGAUUUCAAUCUUCUUCAGGAGUGUGUGCUAGGAUUU
rnacentral:misc_RNA from 1 species